rnacentral:rRNA from 1 species
AACGAACGCUGGCGGCAGGCCUAACACAUGCAAGUCGAACGCUGUAGCAAUACAGAGUGGCAGACGGGUGAGUAACACGUGGGAAUCUUCCUAUCGGUACGGAAUAGCUCAGGGAAACUUGGGGUAAUACCGCAUACGCCCUUCGGGGGAAAGAUUUAUCGCCGAUAGAUGAGCCCGUGUCUGAUUAGCUAGUUGGUGAGGUAAUGGCUCACCAAGGCGACGAUCAGUAGCUGGUCUGAGAGGAUGACCAGCCACACUGGGACUGAGACACGGCCCAGACUCCUACGGGAGGCAGCAGUGGGGAAUAUUGGACAAUGGGCGCAAGCCUGAUCCAGCCAUGCCGCGUGAGUGACGAAGGUCUUCGGAUUGUAAAGCUCUUUUGGCGGGGACGAUAAUGACGGUACCCGCAGAAUAAGCCCCGGCUAACUUCGUGCCAGCCGCCGCAGUAACAC